rnacentral:piRNA from 1 species
UACAUUGCCUAAAUCAUAACUUGAUGA